UCAAGCGCAGUAAGGGCAUGCGAAGGAUGCCUAGGUAUCGAGAAGCGACGAAAGACGUGUUAGGCUGCGAAAAGCCUCGGGGAGCUGCCAAAUGAGCUUUGAUCCGGGGAUGUCUGAAUGGGGCAACCCACUCCGUCAGGAGUACGGGAAGGUGAAUACAUAGCCUUCUGCGAGCGAACUCGGGGAACUGAACCAUCUUAGUACCCGAAGGAAAAGAAAACAAAAAAGUGAUUCCGAAAGUAGCGGCGAGCGAAAUUGGAACAGCCCAAACCAGUCUUCGCAAGAGGGCUGGGGUUGUGGGACGUGCAUUUAGGAAGCGAACGGUAGCUGAAUGGGCUGGAAGGCCUGUCCACAGAGAGUGAAAGACUCGUAAGCGAAACCAAUCGUUCUGAGCGCGUAUCCCGAGUAGCACAGGGCACGUGAAACCCGGUGUGAAUCCGGCAGGACCAUCUGCCAAGGCUAAAUAUUCCUCGAUGACCGAUAGUGAACCAGUACCGUGAGGGAAAGGUGAAAAGAACCCCGGUGAGGGGAGUGAAAGAGAACCUGAAAUCGCAUGCCUACAAGCAGUUGGAGCACCCUCGUGGUGUGACAGCGUACCUUUUGCAUAAUGAGUCCGCGAGUUAUUUUCUGCAGCGAGGCUAAGGUGCACAAGCACUGGAGCCGUAGGGAAACCGAGUCUGAAUAAGGCGUUUUAGUUGCAGGGAAUAGACCCGAAGCCACGUGAUCUACCCAUGGCCAGGUUGAAGGGGAGGUAAAACUUCCUGGAGGACCGAACUGGUGCCUGUUGAAAAAGGCUCGGAUGAGCUGUGGGUAGGGGUGAAAGGCUAAUCAAACGUGGCGAUAGCUGGUUCUCCCCGAAACAUAUUUAGGUAUGGCGUCGGAUGUUUCUUUAAGGGGGUAGAGCACUGAAUGAGCUAGGGGCCUUACCGGGUUACCAAACUCAAUCAAACUCCGAAUACCUUAAAGUGAAGUCCGGCAGACAGUUUGCGAGCGAGAAGGUUCGUAAGCGAGAGGGAAAGAUCCCAGACCGACCGCUAAGGUCCCCAAGACUGUGCUCAGUGGAGAAGGAUGUGGAAACGUUAAAACAGCUAGGAUGUUGGCUUAGAAGCAGCCAUCAUUUAAAGAAAGCGUAAUAGCUCACUAGUCUAAUGGGUCCGCGCCGAAGAUGUAACGGGGCUUAAGCACAGCACCGAAGCGCCGGCAGAAGAAAUUCUGGGUAGGGGAGCAUUGUAUUGACCGUCGAAGAUGCAUCGUGAGGUGUGUUGGAGGAGAUACAAGAGCAUAUGCGGACAUGAGUAGCGUAAGACGGGUGAGAACCCCGUCCGCCGUAAGCCCAAGGAUUCCUGAGAGUGGUCAAUCCCCUCAGGGUAAGUCGAAACCUAAGGUGAGGCCCAAGGGCGUAACCGAUGGCAAGCAGGUUAAUAUUCCUGCACCAGAUGUGUGGAGCGACGCAGGGGUGGAGAAGGAGAGUGAGAGCCGGUGAUUGGAUUCCGGUUUAAGGCUGUAGGUAGGUGGCGUACAGAAAUGGCGUUACCUUAGCUGAGAGCUGAUGACGUAAGUCUCAUGGUUCCAUGCUCACAAGAAAAGCUGCUAAGUGAUGAAGCACGUUUGUUCGUACCGCAAACCGACACAGGUGGGCUGGUAGAGUAUACCAAGGCGUUUGAGAGAUCCCAGGCGAAGGAACUCUGCAAUUUACUACCGUAACUUCGGGAUAAGGUAGGCUCGUUAGCGUGAUUGCCCUCGCGGCAUUAAGCGCAGACGAGUAGCAUAGAAUAGGGACUAGCGACUGUUUACCAAAAACACAGGACUCUGCGAAAUCGCAAGAUGACGUAUAGGGUCUGACGCCUGCCCGGUGCUGGAAGGUUAAAAGGAGGAGUUAGUCGCAAGGCGAAGCUUCGAAUUGAAGCCCCAGUAAACGGCGGCCGUAACUAUAACGGUCCUAAGGUAGCGAAAUUCCUUGUCGGGUAAGUUCCGACCUGCACGAAUGGCGUAACGACUGGUCCGCUGUCUCCGCCUGGCACUCAGCGAAAUUGAAUAGGGGGUGAAAAUGCCCCCCACCCGCGACAGGACGGAAAGACCCCGUGAACCUUUACUGCAACUUGGCAUUGGGUUCUUGGAUUAGCUGUGUAGGAUAGGUGGGAGACUGAGAAGCUGUGGCGCUAGCUGCGGCAGAGUCGUCGUUGAAAUACCACCCUGCUAAUCUGAGAAUUCUAACCUCGGCCCAUUAUCUGGGUCAGGAACAGUGUCUGGUGGGCAGUUUGACUGGGGCGGUCGCCUCCCAAAGAGUAACGGAGGCGCGCGAAGGUAACCUCAGGCCGGAUAGAAACCGGCUGUCGAGCGUAAGGGCAGAAGGUUGCCUCACUGAGAGAUCGACAGAUCGAACAGACACGAAAGUGGGUCCUAGUGAUCCGGUGGUUCCGCAUGGAAGGGCCAUCGCUCAACGGAUAAAAGGUACUCCGGGGAUAACAGGCUGAUCUUAUCCAAGAGUUCACAUCGACGAUAAGGUUUGGCACCUCGAUGUCGGCUCAUCACAUCCUGGGGCUGGAGCAGGUCCCAAGGGUUUGGCUGUUCGCCAAUUAAAGUGGUACGCGAGCUGGGUUCAGAACGUCGUGAGACAGUUCGGUCCCUAUCCGUCGUGGGCGUUGAGAAGUUGAGAGAAUUUGACCUUAGUACGAGAGGACCGGGUUGAACGAACCUCUGGUGGAUCGGUUGUCGUGCCAACGGCACAGCCGAGUAGCUAUGUUUGGACGGGAUAAACGCUGAAAGCAUCUAAGCGUGAAACCCAUCUCGAGAUGAACUUCUCCGGGAGCAAUCCCAAAGAGCACUUGAAGACUACAAGUUUGAUAGGGUGGGUGUGUAAGCGCUGCGAGGCGUUGAGCUAACCACUACUAAUCGCUCUUCGUGCUUGAAAUU
rnacentral:rRNA from 1 species